GACUAGAUUCCCAACAACCAAAGGUAUUGUUCUCAUGUCAGGGGUUUGUCCCUAGCCUCCGUAGAGAGUCGUGCACAGUUCAUGGAGGGGACACCUCAGUUGGUGGUACAUGCAAUACUUGGGAGAGGUGUUAGCAUAGAGCGUGUGAAUAAUUAUUCAACAACCUAAAGUGGUACCAUGGUUGUAGGUAAGGGUCUUAUAAGCCUCAGGUUGGUUGUUUGAGUCACCCCGCUAUUAGGUUGCUCAAUAAUUAUUCACACCAUAUACUAACACCUCUCUUGAGUCUUGUAGGUACCACCAAUUGAGGCACUCCCUCUAUGAAUCGUACAUUGUUCUCCGCAGAGGCUAGGGACGAAACCCAAACAUGGGGACAAUACCUUCGAUUGUUGGAGGGUCCAGU
rnacentral:pre_miRNA from 1 species